GUAGGUGGCAAGCGUUGUCCGGAAUUAUUGGGGCGUAAAGCGCGCGCAGGCGGUUCUUUAAGUCUGAUGUGAAGGGCCCACGGGCUCAACCGUGGAGGGUCAUUGGAAACUGGAGAACUUGAGUACAGAAGAGGAAAGCGGAAUUCCACGUGUAGCGGUGAAAUGCGUAGAGAUGUGGAGGAACACCAGUGGCGAAGGCGGCUUUCUGGUCUGUAACUGACGCUGAGGCGCGAAAGCGUGGGGAGCAAACAGGACUAGAUACCCUGGUAGUCCACGCCGUAAACGAUGAGUGCUAAGUGUUAGGGGGUUUCCGCCCCUUAGUGCUGCAGCUAACGCAUUAAGCACUCCGCCUGGGGAGUACGGCCGCAAAGGCUG
rnacentral:rRNA from 1 species